GAUGAAGAACGUAGCGAAAUGCGAUAAUUAAUGUGAAUUGCAGAAUUCCGUGAAUCAUCGAGUCUUUGAACGCACAUUGCGCCUCAUGGCAUUCCGUGAGGCAUGCCCAUCUCAGCGUUAGAAAAUAUUGUCAAAUUUUCGUGUUGUGCUAAAAUUUGGAUCAUGUCAAGGAAGCCAUUACUAUUAUUGUGAUCGCUCUUUGGAAAUUGAUAGGUCUUUGAGUUGCUACUCAUAGAACGUGAUGAAUCUUUCUUCGUUCUAUUGUAAUUCACUCUGGUAGUCCUAAAACUUGUAUGCCUGUGGCAUAUCUUGUAAUUUGACCUGAGAUUGGGUAGGGAUACCCGCUGAACUUAAGCAUAUCAAUAAGCGGAGGA
rnacentral:misc_RNA from 1 species